rnacentral:miRNA from 1 species
GCAGACACAUUCCAGUCAAUCAGCAGCAGACCCUCCCUCCCAGACCCUCCCACCUCCUGGACAGCUCACUAAGAAUGCAGCUUCACAUUGAAUGUAAAAUGGAUGCUGUCCAGGAGGUGGGAGGGUCUGGGAGGGAGGGUCUGCUGCUGAUUGGCUGGAAUGUGUCUG